rnacentral:rRNA from 1 species
AAAAACUCCGGUGGUAUGAGAUGGGCCCGCGUCUGAUUAGCUAGUUGGCGGGGUAACGGCCCACCAAGGCAACGAUCAGUAGCCGACCUGAGAGGGCGACCGGCCACAUUGGGACUGAGACACGGCCCAAACUCCUACGGGAGGCAGCAGUGGGGAAUAUUGCACAAUGGGGGAAACCCUGAUGCAGCGACGCCGCGUGAGCGAUGAAGUAUUUCGGUAUGUAAAGCUCUAUCAGCAGGGAAGAAGAUGACGGUACCUGACUAAGAAGCCCCGGCUAACUACGUGCCAGCAGCCGCGGUAAUACGUAGGGGGCAAGCGUUAUCCGGAUUUACUGGGUGUAAAGGGAGCGUAGACGGCGGUGCAAGCCAGAUGUGAAAGCCCGGGGCUCAACCCCGGGACUGCAUUUGGAACUGUAUGGCUGGAGUGUCGGAGAGGCAGGCGGAAUUCCUAGUGUAGCGGUGAAAUGCGUAGAUAUUAGGAGGAACACCAGUGGCGAAGGCGGCCUGCUGGACGAUGACUGACGUUGAGACUCGAAAGCGUGGGGAGCAAACAGGAUUAGAUACCCUGGUAGUCCACGCCGUAAACGAUGACUACUAGGUGUCGGGCAGCAAAGCUGUUCG